UGGGGAAUAUUGCACAAUGGGCGCAAGCCUGAUGCAGCCAUGCCGCGUGUAUGAAGAAGGCCUUCGGGUUGUAAAGUACUUUCAGUCGGGAGGAAGGUGUCAAGGUUAAUAACCUUGGCAAUUGACGUUACCGACAGAAGAAGCACCGGCUAACUCCGUGCCAGCAGCCGCGGUAAUACGGAGGGUGCAAGCGUUAAUCGGAAUUACUGGGCGUAAAGCGCACGCAGGCGGUUGAUUGAGUCAGAUGUGAAAUCCCCGGGCUUAACCCGGGAAUUGCAUCUGAUACUGGUCAGCUAGAGUCUUGUAGAGAGGGGUAGAAUUCCAUGUGUAGCGGUGAAAUGCGUAGAGAUGUGGAGGAAUACCGGUGGCGAAGGCGGCCCCCUGGACAAAGACUGACGCUCAGGUGCGAAAGCGUGGGGAGCAAACAGG
rnacentral:rRNA from 1 species